UAUUGUUAGACGAAAUUGAAAAUAAGAUAUGUUGGCAUUUUUUUCAAUUAACUAAUUAAGCUGAUAAUGAACCAAUUAGCUCUUAUUGCAUUGCAGGUUUAAUCGGAGAACUACAAACAAUCCUUACAAUAAUAACAACAAAAAGACGUAAAAUUAUAGUUAACUAAUUAAGCAAAAAUAUUAAAAAUAUUUAGUUAUAUAUUAUUUGAAGAGGAAAGAAGGAUCAUGUUCUCAACAUAACAUAAUUCACUUCUUCAAAAUUUACAAAGUGAAUAAAAACAAUCAGUGUCUUUAGAAACUACAAGAAUAAGAAAAAAAAAAUCUCAAAAACUACAAAGAGAAGCAAACGAGAAAAUGAACAAAUUAUUUUUUCUAUAAAAAAAAUCAUGAUUUGUAUCAUCAACAAUUCAAACUAAUAAUAUCAAAUGUAUAAUUAUAAUAGAACAAAAGUGAUAAGGAUAAUUAGGCAUGUCAAAUUAUUUUACCUCACGAAAUCAAACUAUGCAAAAUAUCUAACAUUUUCCAUUAUAUAUCCCUCUUGUGCAAAAAUCAGAUCAAAGAAGACAAAAAAAUUUAAAAAAUCAAAGAAACAAAGAUAAAGAAUAAGGAAAAUAAAAAUAAAAAUGUCCAUCAUACAUGUCUCAAAGUGAGGUUUUAUAGGUGUAACAUUUAGGAGUUAUAGUUUUUCAUAUUAAGUAAUUUGAAGGUUAUGAUUAUGAAAGGUUAGGAGUUAUAUAUAUAUUAUUUAAUUAAAAGGUUAGGAGUUAUAUAUAUUAUUAAAAGGUUAGGAGGUGUAAUGCUCAUUAAGUAACUUAUUACUAGCAAUAUAUAUACAGACAUAAUAUUAUUGUGUAAAGUAUUUAAAAAACCCUAAUAUGUUAUUUUAAAAAUAAAUAUUUUUCUGAUCAUUGAGACAUGUCACAUAGGCGAAAUGAAGAUCGAUAUUUAUAUUAAUAUAUAGAUUGAUUGAGAUGACAGUUGGGAGGCAUCAAAUUGUUGUACAAAAAGCAAGAUAAUUUGUACUACAAAUAGUAGGGUUAAAGUAGUAACUACAUCUACUUGGUACUUUUUCUAAAGUGUGUAACGUGUAGUGCUUUCUGUACACGCGUUUUAUGUCCAAAGAAAAUGAAAUGUCCCAAUGCAUAUUGAAUUUUUACAUUAAUAGAAAAUAAUGUAUUUUUCUCGGCUAAAGAGAGUGUAUUGAUUAUAUAUAUCUGUUGUUGCAAAAUCAAAAUUCAAAAGAUGAAUUUUGAGCUAGAAAAUUCAAAUCUCUAUGCAAGAUUGAAUUUAUGUGCUCAAUAGAUGAUCUCGAAUCAAGUAACGAUAUGCAUAUUGUAACUUUGACGUAUAAAUGCUGUUUGUGACUGCUAUUUUACUUUAAUCUUGGACUUCUUUCUUUUUUUAAGUAAUAAAUACCCAUUUCAGGUAACUCUCAAAAGAACAAAACAAUCUUUUUUCCGUUUAGCUUGUUAUUGCAGUGUAUGUCUUGUUGUAUUUUGUUUUUUAAGAAAGAGCUUACGAAUAAAAAAUCGUGGCUUUCUAUGUAUUACCAGGCUCAUUUGUCUAGAAAGUUGGCUAUGUCGCACAUGGUCUAUGUAAUGAUCCGAAAUGUAAUUUUUAGAAAUUUGAACUAUUCGAUAACUAUGAAUGUUUAGUUAGUGAAUA